rnacentral:rRNA from 1 species
AACUAACGCUGGCGGCGCGUCUUAAACAUGCAAGUCGAACGGUGAAAAUGAGGCUUCGGCCGAAACACGAGUGGCGAACGGGUGAGUAACACGUAGGUAAUCUACCUUUCGGCGGGGGACAACUCAGGGAAACUUGAGCUAAUACCGCAUAUUCCAUCUGAUUCACGGAUCGGAUGGUGAAAGCCUUCGGGCACCGGAAGAUGAGCCUGCGUCCUAUUAGCUUGUUGGUGAGGUAACGGCUCACCAAGGCGACGAUGGGUAGCCGGCCUGAGAGGGUGAUCGGCCACACUGGAACUGAGACACGGUCCAGACUCCUACGGGAGGCAGCAGUUAAGAAUCUUGCGCAAUGGGGGCAACCCUGACGCAGCGACGCCGCGUGAAGGAUGAAGGCCCUCGGGUUGUAAACUUCAAUAGACAGGGAAGAAUUUUUGACGGUACCUGUCGAUAGCACCGGCUAAAUACGUGCCAGCAGCCGCGGUAA